UACGUAAGGUGCGAACGUUGUUCGGAAUCACUGGGCAUAAAGAGCACGUAGGCGGCUGGAUAAGUCCGAUGUGAAAUCCCUCGGCUCAACCGAGGAAUUGCAUCGGAUACUGUCUGGCUAGAGUGCAGUAGGGGAGAGCGGAAUUCCAGGUGGAGCGGUGAAAUGCGUAGAUAUCUGGAGGAACACCGGUGGCGAAAGCGGCUCUCUGGACUGUAACUGACGCUGAGGUGCGAAAGCCAGGGGAGCAAACGGG
rnacentral:misc_RNA from 1 species